GAUGAACGCUGACAGCAUGCUUAACACAUGCAAGUCAACUUGAAUUUGGGUUUUUAACUUAGGUUUGGGUGGCGGACGGGUGAGUAACGCGUAAAGAACUUGCCUCACAGCUAGGGGCAACAUUUGGAAACGAAUGCUAAUACCUAAUAUUAUGAUAAUAGGGCAUCCUAUAAUUAUGAAAGCUAUAAGCGCUGUGAGAGAGCUUUGCGUCCCAUUAGCUAGUUGGAGAGGUAACGGCUCACCAAGGCGAUGAUGGGUAGCCGGUCUGAGAGGGUGAUCGGCCACAAGGGGACUGAGACACGGCCCUUACUCCUACGGGAGGCAGCAGUGGGGAAUAUUGGACAAUGGACCGAGAGUCUGAUCCAGCAAUUCUGUGUGCACGAUGAAGUUUUUCGGAAUGUAAAGUGCUUUCAGUUGGGAAGAAACAAAUGACGGUACCAACAGAAGAAGUGACGGCUAAAUACGUG
rnacentral:rRNA from 1 species